GAUGAACGCUGGCGGCGUGCUUAACACAUGCAAGUCGAACGAAGCACUUUAUUUGAUUUCCUUCGGGACUGAUUAUUUUGUGACUGAGUGGCGGACGGGUGAGUAACGCGUGGGUAACCUGCCUUGUACAGGGGGAUAACAGUUGGAAACGGCUGCUAAUACCGCAUAAGCGCACAGCAUCGCAUGAUGCAGUGUGAAAAACUCCGGUGGUAUAAGAUGGACCCGCGUUGGAUUAGCUAGUUGGUGUGGUAACGGCCCACCAAGGCGACGAUCCAUAGCCGACCUGAGAGGGUGACCGGCCACAUUGGGACUGAGACACGGCCCAAACUCCUACGGGAGGCAGCAGUGGGGAAUAUUGCACAAUGGGCGAAAGCCUGAUGCAGCGACGCCGCGUGAGCGAAGAAGUAUUUCGGUAUGUAAAGCUCUAUCAGCAGGGAAGAUAAUGACGGUACCUGACGAAGAAGCACCGGCUAAAUACGUG
rnacentral:rRNA from 1 species